rnacentral:lncRNA from 1 species
GCAUAAAUCUGAGAAACGUGAGUUUGUCAUCAUUUUUUAUCUAGACAUAGGAUAGGUUGUGUGAAAAUAUUACUGAUGUUUAACGUUAAAAAUGGACCAAAAGAUUAAUGCUAAACAACAUUUGACAUGUUUGAACGAACAUAAAUAGAUUAUUUACUAGGUUUUUUUAGCUUUUCGGCGUGAUUUUACCAGCCCCCAACCACGUUUUGUGGGAGCAUAAUGAACGCUAAGUACUUGGUGUUAUUUGGACAUAAAUUAUGAACUUUGUCAAAAGAAACCACAUUUGUUCCGGACCUGGAAUGCCUUCCGGACCUGGGAUCCUGCCUUCUGAUGGAGAUAAUCAAAGACUGGGGCCCUCAGGGCGAAGUGAGAGUAUGGGUACUGAUGGACAGGCAGGAAGGAAGGAAGACCAGAGAUGGAUUCACAACCGUUGCCAUUGCUCUACUCCAAAUACAGCAUGCCAAAUGGAUCUACAAUUUUGCUAUUUUUAUGUGAUAUAGUUAACAUCCAACAUUUUAUUGAUAAUUACAUUGAUAACUAUUGAAAUAUACUACUUGGUUUUUGAUUGACGUAGAAUAGAAACACCUGAAAAAGCGACUUUUUUUUACCCAUUUUUCUCGUAACCAUACCAUGCAAUACUACCAAACCAAACCAUACUAAACUCAACAAAAAAAGAAACAUCCCUUUUUCAGGACCCAUUCUGUGACGUGCUCAGUUUUUUGGCGACAUGAAGCUUUCAUUAGACCAAUGAAAUUGCCGAACGGGUUAAGGUCAAAGAACUUUUUUGUUUACUGUUUAGAUUAAAUCGAGCGCUCUCAAACUUCCCAUCAUUCUGAUUACGGUAGUCAUUUUGUCACCCUCAUCAUGGCAAAGACACGGAGAAAUGCAUAUGAUGCAGCUUUCAAGUUGAAGGCGAUUGAUCUGGCUGUUGGAAAAGGAAAAGGAGCUGCUGCACGGGAGCUUGGUAUUAAUGAGUCGAUGAUAAGGCGUUGGAAACAGCAGCGUGAGGAAUUGACUCAGUGCAAAAAGACAACUAAAGCUUACUGCAAAUUUUUUAUUUUUUGUUACAAGCCGUGUUUCGUUAAAGCCUAUUUAUUUUUGUUACAAGCCGUGUUUCGUUAAAGCCUAUUUAUUUUUGUUACAAGCCGUGUUUCGUUAAAGCCUGUGUAAAGUACAUUUGUUUCAAUGUACCGGUAGGCACCUGCGGCUUAUAGACAUGUGCGGCUUAUCCUGUUAGGGCUAGGGGGCAGUAUUGACACGGCUGGAUAAAAAACAUACCCGAUUUAAUCUGGUUACCACUCCUACCCAGUAACUAGAAUAUGCAUAUACUUAUUACAUAUGGAUAGAAAACACCCUACAUUUUCUAAAACUGUUUGAAUGGUGUCUGUGAGUAUAACAGAACUCAAAUGGCAGGUCAAAACCUGAGAGAUUCCUUUACAGGAAGUGGCCUGUCUGACCAUUU